CAUGUCCUCAUGCCACACCUCCAGAGAUCUGCUACAGCACCUGCUUAAAGACCUGUGACACAAGGAAUCCCAAAUGGUAUGGGGCCAAAGAUCUGUUGAGCUGAACCCAUGGUGGGGCUUGGUAUUUGAGCCUGUUAAAAGAUGUAAAAAUACUUGGUAUUUAGUAGGGUUUUUUUACAUCUUUUAACAGCCCACUGUUAGGAUAAACUUCUCCCAAGUCAAAAAUGGCAGUGUAAGGGAAAAAAGGUAAUCUGAGGGUUGCAAAGAAGCAGUUCAGGCAGAACUAAAGCCCUGAACAAAUGGACAAAAGUCUUUGCAGUUUUGUUAAACAAUGGCUCUGUAUCCUCACCUUCUGAUCCACGACACGCUCUGCUGCCACAGCUUUAGUGCCAGUCACACCACUCACUCUGCUCCCUGCCAAAAAUCCCUUAUUGGAUGGGUGUCAGGAGAGAAAUCGCACAGUCCUGCUGUUCCCUCUGAAUUAAACAUUUGAUUUCCCUGUGUUUUCAGGAAGAACCGUGAACAGCUCACGCUGUGCCUAGUAAGAGUCCACUUAGCAAUUGCACUGACUGAGUGUAUUUACCCCCUUAUCUCCUCAGGCAGAGCCUGUGCCUUCUCCAUCGGCAGAAUUCAGCAUCCCUCACCCACAACCAGGGAGCCAAGGCACACCCCUGGAUCUCCACCCACUCUGACCGAUGAGGGAACACGAGAGUUCCUAAACUCUUGUAUCCCUGCAUUUUCCUUGCCUCCUUUCCCUUGACACGGGCCAAAAGCUGGGGAAGCUGUGAGCAGCAAAAUUCCAGGUGGGCAGAAGAUGGCAGCAACAGCCCAGCAACAGCUCUGCUUCACCGGAUAGGGAUUUCCUCUCUUCGGGAAUACCGGUGUGGUUUUGCAGAGGAGAGGAGACAUUUUCACCCCUUUGGGCUUCAGGAUUGUGAUCAAGAGACACCAGGACUGGAAAAUCAAAGGAGAUGGCUCAGCAUGAAGAGCUUGGUGUGAGAAGGACCAUGGACUGAGUAUCUCAUCCAUGUCACUGUGAUGGCUUCUCCUGGACCAGGACCCACCAUGGCCUGUGGGAUAAGCUCUGCUCCCAGGAGGUUCACAGGAUACAAGGACAGGAGCAACCAUCCAUCAAAGCACAUUGUCACCAGCGUGGCAGACAGCAAGCCCCAGGUGUGGAAGGGACAAGCUCUCACAAGCUCACAUUUUUGGGCCUGGUUCCUGUUUCACGUGGCAGCAGGGCUGGCCUCGACCCGGUGCCUGCCCCAACAGAGCAGGACACGGCAGCUUGGAAGGGACUGUCAGGAGGAGAACAGCUGAGAGCCACAACCAUCCCGGCGCGUGUAUAAAUAGAGACGGAGCUGUUAUCCUGAUGAAAUGAGACCAGAUGUUUCUGCCAAAUCCCUCCUCUCUGCUAGUGAAAAUUAUAGUUUAGUUACAGCAGGGCAAAGCAGGCAGCAAAAUAUUUUCAACCAACUAAUGUUGGGAAGUCAAAGGGGCAAAAUGCCUCACUGGGGUAGGGGUACCAUGCCCUGUGAUGCUGCAGGGCUGGAUUGGGCAUGGUCAGAGUGGGAACCAGAGGAGUCCCUCGCUGCCUUUGUUCCAUUUUUCUGCUUCCUAUCCCAGUAUUAAUGGGCUGAGCUUUAAAGCCCAUGCUGCGGCCGCUUUUGUGAGGUAGAAAUUCAGUGUCAGCACAUGUAUCCUGGAGGCAGUUGGCACGAGAUGAAGGAGGGACGGCAGCAGCAGUUAAAACUGGGCCUUGGCUCUUUAAUAUUUAACUUUCCCCAGUGCUGGGGUUUUUUUUUAAUCAGUUUGUGCAUUAUCUGCCAUCCCCGUUCAAAGAGGGUUUUAGCACAGAGAUUUCAGUGCUUAAUCCCAGGGGCAGGGAAAGCGGAAGAGUCUCUCUGAAGGUUCCAGGGCUCAAUCUGGCCUCAAUUACACCAGCCUAAAUCAGCAAAGAGUGCCCACCAUGGACGUCACUGUGACUGCAACAGGCUGCAGGUAACAGAAUUAGGGGUCAGUCCUGCAUCUCUCCAGCAGACACCUCUGGUCCCUAAGGCUCCAUCCAUAAGGGAGUUCCCAGGAAGAUCUAAACGUUGUCAGACUGUCUCAGAAUAAACGUCCACCCUGGGCAGCAACCAGGGCCUGGCUGUGGCCAGCUGCAGAUGCUUAGGAAGGGAUAUGGGAAGAGGGAGAGUAUAAAGUGAUCCUUCCUCUGGCAUUUCCUCCUGGCUCCUGGUAAUCAGCAGUUGAGGGACUUCCUAAGCCGGAGGUUGCAUGAAUUUGUGUAAUCCCUUUUGUUGUUUGGUUGUUUUUUUUUUCCUCAUUCAUUUAUACUUUUGGCCUCCAUGACAUCCUGUGGCAAUAAGUUCCACAAUGUAAUUAUGUGUUGUGUGAAAAAGUACUUCCUUUUGUCUGCUUGAGACCUGGCUCCUGAACAUUUCUCUCCAUGUUCUUGUGUUGUGAAGAA